ACACUCCUACGGGAGGCAGCAGUGGGGAAUUUUGGACAAUGGGCGAAAGCCUGAUCCAGCAAUGCCGCGUGAGUGAAGAAGGCCUUCGGGUUGUAAAGCUCUUUUGUCAGGGAAGAAACGGUGAAAGCUAAUAUCUUUUGCUAAUGACGGUACCUGAAGAAUAAGCACCGGCUAACUACGUGCCAGCAGCCGCGGUAAUACGUAGGGUGCAAGCGUUAAUCGGAAUUACUGGGCGUAAAGCGUGCGCAGGCGGUUUUGUAAGUCUGAUGUGAAAUCCCCGGGCUCAACCUGGGAAUUGCAUUGGAGACUGCAAGGCUAGAAUCUGGCAGAGGGGGGUAGAAUUCCACGUGUAGCAGUGAAAUGCGUAGAUAUGUGGAGGAACACCGAUGGCGAAGGCAGCCACCUGGGUCAAGAUUGACGCUCAUGCACGAAAGCGUGGGGAGCAAACAGGAUUAGAUACCCCGGUAGUCCCAUGAU
rnacentral:rRNA from 1 species